CCACUCACUGCCACUGGUGAAAACGAAGUGCCACAAAUCAAAUAGAUGAUACCCAUAUCAAUUCUUGUCACCAUAAUCUCAAAACGGUACCGUUGAUUUUUGGAUGUAUGAAUUCAAAUUAAGAGUGGAUAAAGGUAAUUCACUCAAAACAUCAUAAGCGUAGCCUAUACUCAAAAGUUAGAGGUCAAAGAGAGGCCCUUGGCCAUGUGCAGCAGAGUCUGAGCUCAGAAGUCAGACCUAGAUUCAGUGUGAACAAGUUUAUGUUAAAAGUUUGCAGGUGCAGCAAAAGUGGGAAUUCUUACAUCUUUUUCACUCUUGCCGCCCAAACCCACCCUUCAUCAAAUCAGUUCCGGUGGUUUUCUUUUCUUUCCCAAUCCCCACCCUACCACACAAAUUGUUUCUGAUGCCCCAUCAGUUUUUUUCUUCCCUUCUUUCGUUGAACAGAAACAGACACCAGCAUGCCCAGAUAGAUUGCAGUGAAAUGGCAGGGCAAAAUUUGAUUCGAAAAACAUCCAUUAACAAGCAACCUGGAAGGGUAAUAAUACAUUGGUACACCCUUGUUCAAAUGGACCCUUGAGAAAUUGAUUAAAAUCAUCAACACGACCUUUUCCCUUACCUCAUUUUGAAGCAUUGGGCUUGAGUAUCAUUUGUCUCAUAGCCAAAUCUGUGCCUUUACAGAACCAGUAAGGGGUUAUCGAUU
rnacentral:lncRNA from 1 species